UUACUUGUUUCUCCUCUCCCCGCCGCUACGGCUACACGCAGAGGCAUCUCAUCUCCGAUUGAGUCCCGAUGAGGAAACGUUUAGUAAUCUGAACAAAAUGGAACAUGGAGGGUUUCGUCCAUUGCUGGCGCUCCCGAUGGCUUAUCGCUGAGGUUGAGGAACCAGCUGUUCCAUGCCAAUUCCAGCGUAAAAAUCGGCUCCGGACUGUCCAAAAUGUUGAAAAGGGUCCCGAGGCAUCAAAUUGAGGUGUCUAAGCGGAGGAAAGCAGAGCGCAAGGACCUUGCGGCUGAUAAGACCGUCUAGAGUGGAGCCAAAGGGGUCAGAAGUGGCUCAGGCCGGCGUCAGUUGGGUUAUGUUUGAAUUUGUCUAAUAGAUCCUUUUUUUUUUUUAGUAUUAUAUUUAUUUAGCUUAUAACUUUAAAAAGGAAAGUUCAUACAGUUAUGAACACAUUUAAAUAAA